rnacentral:tRNA from 1 species
GUGGCGGAAUUGGUAGACGCGCAGCGUUGAGGUCGCUGUGGGGUAACUCCCGUGGAAGUUCGAGUCUUCUCGGCCGCACCA